UACGUAGGGACCGAGCGUUGUCCGGAUUCAUUGGGCGUAAAGAGCUCGUAGGCGGCUGUUCAAGUCGAACGUGAAAACUCGGGGCUCAACUCCGAGCCUGCGUUCGAUACUGGAUGGCUAGAGUCUGGUAGGGGGAUCUGGAAUUCCUGGUGUAGCGGUGGAAUGCGCAGAUAUCAGGAAGAACACCUAUGGCGAAGGCAGCUCUCUGGGACGGUACUGACGCUGAGACGCGAAAGCGUGGGGAGCGAACAGG
rnacentral:rRNA from 1 species